rnacentral:rRNA from 1 species
UACGGGGGGAGCAAGCGUUGUUCGGAUUUACUGGGCGUAAAGGGCGCGUAGGCGGUCGUGACAAGUCACUUGUGAAAUCUCCGGGCUUAACUCGGAACGGUCAAGUGAUACUGUCGGACUAGAGUACAGAAGGGGCAACUGGAAUUCUCGGUGUAGCGGUGAAAUGCGUAGAUAUCGAGAGGAACACCGGUGGCGAAAGCGCUCUGCUAGGCCGCAACUGACACUGAGGGACGAAAGCUAGGGGAGCGAAUGGG